ensembl:lncRNA
ACCUGUCGUACAGGUAUAGCACACUUUAUUCCUGACACUCCUGGACAUGAUAUUCUGUGUCAGUAGCUGUAGUGAUCACACACACUGUCAUUAUGAUACCGAUUAGUGUGUACCAUGUGUUCAUGCUGCUAGGGCGUGUGAACAAUUGUUUGUCUUAUUUUAUUGUUGUGGCUGGUUGUCCUGCUGUGUGGACCAGUGCGUUCCUGCUAAGCAUCUCUUUAUCGUCUGCGUCCUCUGUUCACUGCCAACUUUUCAUAUCUUUAGCUGCAUGUUGUCAGGUGCCUCCAGUUCCUCCACAAUCAGCUCCGUAACGUGACACCGAGGCUGUGGAGGGAACACCAUCUCCUGUAAACUUCCUUCAAGUUGGAAUGACGUAUUCCCAGAGGGUCGGAUGGUAGUAUGGAUCAUCAGCCAAAGAAGGUUCUUCAUAGCAGUGUAUUGGUUCUUCCAGGUCUCAUCCCUUAACAAGUUAAAGUGAACCCGGAAAGGACCGGAAAAGGUUCUCCUGGCAGGCAUCACUCUUAAGAACCUUACUUUGGUUCCUUAAAGCACUACCUAAGUGGGUUGUUUUUGUUUUUUUAAAUAGAGAACUUAUGAUAACAUGGUUCUCUAAAGCACCAGCAAAUAGACGGAUCUCUGAAGAACUUAAGAGUGAAAGGUUCUUCGUGCAGCUUAAAAGGGUUCUCCUAUGGCAUCAUGCUGAAAGCUUUAUGUGUAAGAGUGUACAGGGAAGACAGUGCCUCUGAUGUGCAAUUCAACUCGGUGUUUAAUUUCCAGAGGAGCGAAUAAACACACACACACUCAAAUAAAUUGCACAAACAGGAAGUAAAGCUGCAUGGACAGGAUACACACACACUUUCCUCUUACAGCCGGACAUGUUAGCUCUCUAAUCCGGACUGCAAAUGCAGUAAGACGUAUCGGAAACAUGUCCGCCGACAGCUAACAGGAGAUAACCUGUGACCGUGCACAGACGGAGACAGAACCAAAACAGAACACGCAUGGUCACGUAAAUAAAGGCUAAAACAGAGCUGCAGAAGCGCGUGUCGAGAGACGUGAGCUGUCACGGGCGCUGCUGCACUGGGAGCGAGGGGAGAAACCCUGGCUCUAGGGCAGAUUUCGGUUCUGAUCUGAGAAUCUACACAGCAUUGAUUAAUAUUAAACAGUUUAUUAUCAUCACUGCUGAGAAUAACAGCCAUGGCCCUAUUCAGACGGGAUUAAACGUGCACAGUUAGUUUAUUUUCUGAUUUUAUUUCCAUCUCGAUCGGCCAUGUUGGCGUUUCUCUCCGUCCUGUUUGUCACCAAACUCAACUGAUCAUUUUUAUUACAGAUACACGUCUGUGAUUUUCUAUACAUUCUUUACUUCCUGUAUCGCCUUCUUCUGGCUUGUCCACGUGAUCUUUAGCAAUAUUAUAUACCCUGGGUUCCUUUGUGACCUCGUGGACUAUUACACGUCUUAAUCUUGGAUAGAUCUUUGUUAAUCUCCACUCCUGGGGAGCGGAACAACGGUGUUGAAUUUCCUCUAUUUGUACACAAUCUGUCUGACUGUGGAUUGGUGGAGUCCAAACUCUACAUUCAGAGAUGGUUUUGUGAACUUUUCCAGCCUGAGGAGCUUCAACAACUCUUUUCUGAGGUCCUCAGAAAUCUCCUUUGUUUGCGUCAUGAUGCACUUCCAC